UUCUUAGCCGAAGAACACAAGCACGGUAACUAAGGAAUAAGCAUCGGCUGAACCUCCGUGCCAGCAGCCUCGGUAAUACCGGAGUGAUGCAAGCGUUAUUUCGGAAUUUAUUGGGCGUAAAGCGUCUGUAGGUUGCUUUUUAAGUCUACUGUUAAAUGUUAAGGCUUAACCUUAAAAGAGCGGUAUGAAACUAUAGACAAGCUUGAGUUUAGUAGAGUGUAGAGGGAAUUCUCGGUGUAGUUGGUGAAAUGCGUAGUAGGUCGAGAAGAACACCAUGUUGCGAAAGCGCUCUGCUGGGCUAAUACUGACACUGAGAGACGAAAGCUAGGGGUAGCAAAAUAGGAUUAGAUACCGUAGUAGUCCUAUGCUGUAAACGAUGGAUACUAAGUGUUGGACUUGAAAAUAGUUCAGUGCUGUAGCUAACGCGUUAAGUAUCCCGCCUGGGAAGUAUGCUCGCAAGAGUGAAACUCAAAGGUAAUGACGG
rnacentral:rRNA from 1 species